GCAGUGGUGGUUCAGUGGUAGAAUUCUCACCUUCCAUGCGGGGGACCCAGGUUUGAGUCCUGGCCAGUGCA
rnacentral:tRNA from 1 species